rnacentral:tRNA from 1 species
GGGCGCAUAGCUCAGCUGGGAGAGCACCUGCCUUACAAGCAGGGGGUCAUAGGUUCGAGCCCUGUUGCGCCCACCA